rnacentral:lncRNA from 1 species
GCUGCUGCCUCAGGCUCUCACCUCCCUCUAGCGGCCGCCAAGGACAUCACACACGCCGAGCGGAAGCCCUGCUGGGCGGUGCUGCCGGCUCCAACCCCGGAAAGGCCACGUCCGAGAGAGCUCACCUACUUUCUCCUGGAGGGGCUGCGGUGGGGGCCUGCACAAGAAAGUGGCCUUACUCCCAAUAGCGGAAAUGGAGUUUCCCUUGUUUCACUUAAAAAUACAAUGGAAAAAAAUGCCUCUGUACAACAGCCUAAGCUGACAGUUGAUGUCUAACCCUGGGCUGUACUCACCACUAAACACUGAUAGAUGUUGUCAUUUUCAUGCUAAAGAAACCCCACUCACCCCAAAUAAUUUGUCAAAGAGUACUCAUGUAGACAGCAAGUUUUGGAAGGUGGAGAUGCUUAUCUGUCUUCUGUGAUGUGCCUGUGCCUGAUAGCUAGUAAAUAAGUUUAAAUGAAUUGACAUUGAAAUACACUACAGGCUUGGAAUUAAAAACAAAGAAGAAACCUAUUCCUACCCUCAGAGAAUGACCACUUCAUCGCAGAGGAGAUGAUGGCUGAAGUGCUUAUGCUCAUCAACGACUGUGGAAUUGGGUCUUGGAAUUUUAGUUCCUCUGUUAAACUUAGGAAAUGGAUGGCUGGAGGUCUGCGCCAGCCGAUGAGGGAUUGAUACACCUGAGAUUGCUUUACAAAACACUGCUUUUAGUGUUUAAUGACACAGGAUAGUGUCUACAGCAGUGGCAUGGAGCCAGAACAUGGGUUCUAGAAUCCAGAGAUGACUCGCAGGUUCCAUCUGAGUUCCUUAAAGGACAGUUUCUGCAACGUAGGUGUUCCAUGAUUGCUUGUUGAAUGAAUGAAUAGGAGUAUCUAUCACAACCAUGUCCACACUCAUUGGCUUUAGUGGAGUCAAGGCAAGGUAGAGAUAUUAAUGACAGAAUUCUGGUGAUAGGGGCCCCUACCACCAAUGGCAGUAUUAAGGGGUGAUUAGGGAGAAGGGUAGCUUUUAGUCUCUUUCAAGCCACGCAAACAAAGAUCACAGAAUCUAAGCAAAAGCAAAUGUCUUGCUUUACAGUUUCAAGACAAAGCCCCUGGAAGUUGCCCCCUUUUAAAUAGAUUGUCCCUUAGCCUUGCUACGCAAAUACACUGGAUCCUGUAACCAUGUUAGCCCUUAUCUGUAAUUUCACAAAGUCGGGUGGCAGGUAUUUGCUCAGGAAAUUGAGACAUUAGGUACUCACACUUUUAAAAAUAACACAUAAGGAAGGCAAUAAUAAUUACAUAAGAUAAUAUGUUCCAGGCUCUAUAUCUUGUUAUCUAAUUUAAUCUUCACUGUAACCCUGUAAUGUUAUUAUUAUUGCCCACAUUUUUGCAGAUGUGGAAAUGUCAGCUUAAAGAAGUGAAGUAACUAGGCGAAGGUCAUAGAGACAGCCAAUAUGCAAAUGCACAUCUGCCUUAUUCAACUCUUUCCAACAUACAGCGCUGGUACUUGAGUAUAUGAGGAGGCCUGUUUGUAUACCUCCGAGCAGAAUCAAAUAGGAAAUGUUUGCUAGAAAUAAAAAGGAAGCAUCAAAGGAAAAUAUGGAAGGGUCAACCAAAGGGUGAAUGGGCUUUGUCCUUUCUUCGCUGGAGGUCUGAGCUCAGAAGCCUGGGUCUCAAUAGCUCAUUCCUUUAGAAAUGAGGUUCUUUACACUUGGACUCAGGGAGGGGAACAUCACACACCAGGGCCUGUCAGGGGGUUGGGGGGUAGGGAAGGAAUAGCAUUAGGAAAAAUACCUAAUGUAGAUGAUGGGUUGGUGGACACAGCAAAUCACCAUGGCAUGUGUAUACCUAUGUAACAAACCUGCACGUUCUGCACAUGUAUCGCAGAACCUAAAGUAUAAUGUUUUUAAAUUAAAAAUAUAUAUAAAAAAGAAAUAACGUUCUUUAGAUAACAAAGGAAAGGGCAGUGAUUCCAAAAUCUUUCUCAGCUUUUAAAAUGCACACACUUUCAGGCCUUAGCUCCUGGGUAUUCUGAUCUAGUAGUACUGGGAUGGGGCCCUGGAAUCUGAAUUUUUAGCAAACAUGGCAAAUUUGAAACCCAGGAGAUGUGAUGUUAUCUGAUGUUAAUUCCUCCUCCAAUCAACCACUUAGGCUAAAUUCUUAAGGAUUCUUUGUUUGUUGAAUAGCAUCAAGUAGCAUCUCAAGGAACACCCUUUGGGAAAUGCUGCUGAGAGAAGCUAAGAACUUGCUUCACGAUCGUCAAGCACUGAAAAGGAUUCAUACUUGGGAAACUGGCAAACUGUUUUUCUGACCCUGACCCUUGCCAGUAGUAUAAUCAUGGGCAAGUCACUUGAUUUCUUCACAUGUAAAACAAAAUGAUAAUAUAUCCUCCAUGGACAGCCAUAGAGAGAAGAUUCAUUACAAAAUGCAUUUACGGUAGGAACAGAAGUUGACAAUAAAAGUUAAUAUUGUCACA